ensembl:snRNA U6 U6 spliceosomal RNA
GUUUUCUUGUCUCAGCAGCACAUAUACCAAAAUUGAAUCAAUACAUAGAAGAUUAGCAUGCUCCCUGCACAGUGAGGACAUGCAAAUUCUUAAAGUGUCCCGUAUUUUU